rnacentral:rRNA from 1 species
AACGAACGCUGGCGGCAGGCCUAACACAUGCAAGUCGAACGCCCUAGCAAUAGGGAGUGGCAGACGGGUGAGUAACACGUGGGAACGUGCCUUUCGGUUCGGAAUAACCCAGGGAAACUUGGACUAAUACCGGAUACGUGCGAGAGCAGAAAGAUUUAUCGCCGAAAGAUCGGCCCGCGUCCGAUUAGUUAGUUGGUGAGGUAAUGGCUCACCAAGGCGACGAUCGGUAGCUGGUCUGAGAGGAUGAUCAGCCACACUGGGACUGAGACACGGCCCAGACUCCUACGGGAGGGCAGCAGUGGGGAAGUAUUGGACAAUGGGCGGCAAGCCUGAUCCAGCCAUGCCGCGUGAGUGAUGAAGG